rnacentral:rRNA from 1 species
CGAGCGGCGGACGGGUGAGUAAUGCCUAGGAAAUUGCCCUGAUGUGGGGGAUAACCAUUGGAAACGAUGGCUAAUACCGCAUGAUGCCUACGGGCCAAAGAGGGGGACCUUCGGGCCUCUCGCGUCAGGAUAUGCCUAGGUGGGAUUAGCUAGUUGGUGAGGUAAGGGCUCACCAAGGCGACGAUCCCUAGCUGGUCUGAGAGGAUGAUCAGCCACACUGGAACUGAGACACGGUCCAGACUCCUACGGGAGGCAGCAGUGGGGAAUAUUGCACAAUGGGCGCAAGCCUGAUGCAGCCAUGCCGCGUGUGUGAAGAAGGCCUUCGGGUUGUAAAGCACUUUCAGUCGUGAGGAAGGUAGU